UGUGGCACUGCUAGAGUAAGUAACAAUAGUGGCAACUCCAUUCUAACACUUUAGUGAUCCAACAUGAAAUGCAUCAUCAAUCCAGGCAAAAAUGAGCUAGCAAACAUUUAAAACGUGAUCCAUCACCUUAAAUAGACCAUUAUAAUAGGGUGAGAUCUUCCCUUGGGUUUUAUAGGAAUGGGGUGGGUGAAGAGGCGCAACCACUUGCAUGGCUUGAAGGUAUGGUCAUGGUUUUGAUGGUCAGAGUAGUGGUGUGUGAGCACCUAAGCUUGGAGAAUACAUUCAUGAAUGCUAGCAAGAAAGAUGUUACAACCCAUUAAGGUGGCAUCAGCAUCAGACAUAUCUACAACUCAUCAUGCAUCAAAGUAUACAAGGUAUGUAAUGCCUCUAUCCCAAAUUACAAGAAAAAAAUUAUACAAAUUAUGGAAACUAAUGAUUGGUCUUCUUUGCCCCUCAUUGUGCUGCACCAUUCCUCCGUGUCCACGAGCAUCCCAUCCCACCUAUACCUGCCACUGCACCUACAAGCUUGCCCACUUGGCUCCCCUUCAGUGAUCCUCCACAUCACGCCCACCC
rnacentral:lncRNA from 1 species